AUUGAACGCUGGCGGCAUGCUUUACACAUGCAAGUCGAACGGCAGCGCGGGCUUCGGCCUGGCGGCGAGUGGCGAACGGGUGAGUAAUGCAUCGGAACGUGCCCAGUAGUGGGGGAUAGCCCGGCGAAAGCCGGAUUAAUACCGCAUACGACCUGAGGGUGAAAGCGGGGGACCGAAAGGCCUCGCGCUAUUGGAGCGGCCGAUGUCGGAUUAGCUAGUUGGUGGGGUAAAGGCUUACCAAGGCGACGAUCCGUAGCUGGUCUGAGAGGACGACCAGCCACACUGGGACUGAGACACGGCCCAGACUCCUACGGGAGGCAGCAGUGUGGAAUUUUGGACAAUGGGGGCAACCCUGAUCCAGCCAUGCCGCGUGCGGGAAGAAGGCCUUCGGGUUGUAAACCGCUUUUGUUCGGGAAGAAAUCCUCUGGGCUAAUACCCCGGGGGGAUGACGGUACCGGAAGAAUAAGCACCGGCUAACUACGUG
rnacentral:rRNA from 1 species